rnacentral:rRNA from 1 species
CGGCCACAUUGGGACUGAGACACGGCCCAGACUCCUACGGGAGGCAGCAGUGGGGGAUAUUGCGCAAUGGGGGAAACCCUGACGCAGCAACGCCGCGUGAAGGAUGAAGGUUUUCGGAUUGUAAACUUCUUUUAUUUAGGACGAACAAUGACGGUACUAAAUGAAUAAGCUCCGGCUAACUACGUGCCAGCAGCCGCGGUAAUACGUAGGGAGCAAGCGUUAUCCGGAUUUACUGGGUGUAAAGGGUGCGUAGGCGGCUUGGUAAGUCAGAUGUGAAAUGUAUGGGCUCAACCCAUGCACUGCAUUUGAAACUAUUGAGCUUGAGUGAAGUAGAGGUAGGCGGAAUUCCCUGUGUAGCGGUGAAAUGCGUAGAGAUAGGGAGGAACACCAGUGGCGAAGGCGGCCUACUGGGCUUUAACUGACGCUGAGGCACGAAAGCGUGGGUAGCAAACAGGAUUAGAUACCCUGGUAGUCCACGCUGUAAACGAUGAUUACUAGGUGUGGGGGGUCUGACCCCUUCCGUGCCGGAGUUAACACAAUAAGUAAUCCACCUGGGGAGUACGACCGCAAGGUUGAAACUCAAAGGAAUUGACGGGGGCCCGCACAAGCAGUGGAGUAUGUGGUUUAAUUCGACGCAACGCGAAGAACCUUACCAAGUCUUGACAUCCCUUGACGGACAUAGAAAUAUGUAUUCUCUUCGGAGCAAGGAGACAGGUGGUGCAUGGUUGUCGUCAGCUCGUGUCGUGAGAUGUUGGGUUAAGUCCCGCAACGAGCGCAACCCUUGCUAUUAGUUGCUACGCAAGAGCACUCUAAUAGGACUGCCGUUGACAAAACGGAGGAAGGUGGGGACGACGUCAAAUCAUCAUGCCCCUUAUGACCUGGGCUACACACGUACUACAAUGGAUGUAAACAGAGGGAAGCAAAAUAGCGAUAUGGAGCAAACCCCUAAAAGCAUUCUCAGUUCAGAUUGCAGGCUGCAACUCGCCUGUAUGAAGUUGGAAUUGCUAGUAAUCGCGGAUCAGCAUGCCGCGGUGAAUACGUUCCCGGGCCUUGUACACACCGCCCGUCACACCAUGGGAGCCGGUAAUACCCGAAGCCAGUAGUUUAACCUUAGGGAGAGCGCUGUCGAAGGUAGGAUUGGCGACUGGGGUGAAGUCGUAACAAGGUAGCCGUAUCGGAAGGUGCGGCUG